GAUGAACGCUGGCGGCGUGCCUAAUACAUGCAAGUCGAGCGAACGGACGAGAAGCUUGCUUCUCUGAUGUUAGCGGCGGACGGGUGAGUAACACGUGGAUAACCUACCUAUAAGACUGGGAUAACUUCGGGAAACCGUAGCUAAUACCGGAUAAUAUUUUGAACCGCAUGGUUCAAAAGUGAAAGACGGUCUUGCUGUCACUUAUAGAUGGAUCCGCGCUGCAUUAGCUAGUUGGUAAGGUAACGGCUUAACAAGGCAACGAUGCAUAGCCGACCUGAGAGGGUGAUCGGCCACACUGGAACUGAGAAACGGUCCAGACUCCUACGGGAGGCAGCAGUAGGGAAUCUUCCGCAAUGGGCGAAAGCCUGACGGAGCAACGCCGCGUGAGUGAUGAAGGUCUUCGGAUCGUAAAACUCUGUUAUUAGGGAAGAACAUAUGUGUAAGUAACUGUGCACAUCUUGACGGUACCUAAUCAGAAAGCCACGGCUAACUACGUG
rnacentral:rRNA from 1 species